rnacentral:rRNA from 1 species
GCAAGUCGAAGGAAAAGGUAGAAGCGUGCUUUUACUGGAGACUGGCGGACGGGUGAGUAACGCGUAGAUAACCUGCCUAUAGCUUGGGGAUAACACUGCGAAAGUGGUGCUAAUACCACAUCAUGCAGCGGGGCCGCAUGGCACUAGUUGUUAAAGGUUUCGACCGGCUAUAGAUGGGUCUGCGUGCUAUUAGUUAGUUGGUAGGGUAACGGCCUACCAAGGCGAUGAUAGCUAGGGGGUCUGAGAGGAUGAUC